GGCCCCCUUACAGAGGGGUGUGCAGGAAUCCCACUGAAGAGGAACCCAGAUGAGGACGAGCAGGGGGUCCAGAGGGACCCCCUGCCUCCCUGCCGCAACCGAGCCCCCUUGCCUUGCCCCUUCCACGCAGGGCUCUGCCUGACUUCCCGGAGUCCCCAGCAAGUGCUCUGGGCAGAGAGGAGGAGGAAGGUUCUGGAAUAGCUGACAGGAAGCUGGUUUGGAGCAUGAGGAAGGGGAAGUGUUUACCCCUAUGCAGGCUUUCCUGAGAAAAGAAGAGAAGGGCAUCUGGCCCCCACCUCACCACGAAUUCAAGGGCUGUGCCCCCCCUCCGGUGCCACAGUAAAGCUGCAUGUGUAUGCUUCGCCCCCCAAAAAGAAGAGUAUCCUCUUGAAGACUGAAAUGCAGCUUCCCAAGACCGAGGCUCAGAACACGUGGAAAAUUAUCCAUGUGUGACUUAAACUGCCCAUCGUGUUUGAUUUAGAAAGAUUCACACUGUUACAGAGGCUGACGACAUUUUUCUUGACAACCAUGGAGUCCAAAGAAGCCGCCUAGGAUUUUCCAGAUGGCUGAGCAGUGAGCCAGGUCGAACACGGCGCAGGAGACGCAGCCACAGCUCCUGGGCAAAUCCACUCGCUUGUGAAGUUCUGGAGGGAUCUGAUGGGGCAGAUGCCAGGUUAAAGGUGACAAAUAAAAAUGAAAAUAAGCACUCUCUUCGUGCCACUGGCCACGAGAUGCACGGAUGUUCUAGUUUUUAGGUAACUACAAAUAUUCUGCCGGACUAAUAAGAAAAGCAGUUUGUGUCCUCUGACCUCGAUGCAGCAGAGGCUUAGCUCAGGGUCGGAGUGCAGGGGACGCUCGCCCUGGGGCCGGGGGCAGGGAGGUAAUCUCCCCCAAGCCCAUCCCCGAACCCGUUGGAAGCAAGCACCUUCUGAAAAAUUUAUUUUAAUCUUUCAGGACACAAAUUAAAACGAGUUUGUUGUGAGAAAAAAAGCUCUCUCCCCUACCUAGAGAUAAUUACUCCUUAAUCUUUUGUUACUUUGGGUCUGAGAACUGGGAGCGCCUGGGUGGCUCAGUCGGUUGAGCAUCUGACUCUUGAUUUCCACUCAGGUCCUGAUCGUCCGGUUUGU